UGGGGAAUAUUGGACAAUGGGCGAAAGCCUGAUCCAGCCAUGCCGCGUGAGUGAUGAAGGCCUUCGGGUUGUAAAGCUCUUUUGGCGGGGAAGAUAAUGACGGUACCCGCAGAAUAAGCCCCGGCUAACUCCGUGCCAGCAGCCGCGGUAAUACGGAGGGGGCUAGCGUUGUUCGGAAUCACUGGGCGUAAAGCGCGCGUAGGCGGUUGGUUAAGUCAGAGGUGAAAUCCCGGAGCUCAACUUCGGAAUUGCCUUUGAAACUGGCCAGCUAGAGUUCGGUAGGGGAUGAUGGAAUUCCUAGUGUAGAGGUGAAAUUCGUAGAUAUUAGGAGGAACACCGAUAGCGAAAGCGAUCAUCUGGGCCGAUACUGACGCUGAGGCGCGAAAGCGUGGGGAGCAAA
rnacentral:rRNA from 1 species